rnacentral:rRNA from 1 species
AUUGAACGCUGGCGGCAUGCCUUACACAUGCAAGUCGAACGGUAACAGGUCUUCGGAUGCUGACGAGUGGGGAACAGGUGAGUAAUACAUCGGAACGUGCCUAGUAGUGGGGGAUAACUACUCGAAAGAGUGGCUAAUACCGCAUGAGAUCUACGGAUGAACGCAGGGGCUCGCAAGAUCUUGUGCACAUAGAGCGGCCGAUGGCAGAUUAGGGAUGUGGUGGGAUAAAAGCUUACCAAGCCGACGAUCUGUAGCUGGUCUGAGAGGACGAUCAGCCACACUGGGACUGGGACACGGCCCAGACUCCUACGGGAGGCAGCAGUGGGGAAUUUGGGACAAUGGGCGCAAGCCUGAUCCAGCAAUGCCGCGUGCAGGAUGAAGGCCUUCGGGUUGUAAACUGCUUUUGUACGGAACGAAAAGCCCUGGGUUAAUACCCUGGGGUCAUGACGGUACCGUAAGAAUAAGCACCGGCUAACUACGUGCCAGCCGCCGCCGUAAAAC